AGCUUUGAGGGGAAUGUUGUCUGGCUCGAAGCCAUUAUCUCCUCUUGAUUUAACCUACUUCUUCUUAACUUCAAAAAUAGCAGAACAAACAAUCAUGAGAUAGUGUCGUCGGACCAGGCUUCAUUCCCCCCAAUUUGGA
rnacentral:pre_miRNA from 1 species